rnacentral:rRNA from 1 species
UGCAGCCAUGUUGUCCUGAACACUCUCAUCCUUUUUGAUCUCAGAAGCUAAGCAGAGGUUGGCCUGCUUCAUAUUUGGAUCGGAGACCACCAGUAAUCUCCAGGUAAGGGCUAGGG